CCCUUAGAUGUUCUGGGCCGCACGCGCGCUACACUGAUGCAUUCAACGAGCCUAUCCUUGACCGACAGGUCCGGGUAAUCUUUGAAUCUGCAUCGUGACGGGGAUAGAUUAUUGCAAUUAUUAAUCUUCAUCGAGGAAUGCCUAGUAGGCGCAAGUCAUCAGCUUGCGUCGAUUACGUCCCUGCCCUUUGUACACACCGCCCGUCGCUCCUACCGAUUGGGUGUGCUGGUGAAAUGUUCGGAUCGGCCGUUUGUCGCGGUUUCCGCGGCUCGUGGCUGAGAAGUUCAUUAAACCCUCCCACCUAGAGGAAGGAGAAGUCGUAACA
rnacentral:rRNA from 1 species